rnacentral:rRNA from 1 species
ACGCUGGCGGCAUGCCUAACACAUGCAAGUCGAACGAGAUCUUCGGAUCUAGUGGCGCACGGGUGAGUAACGCGUGGGAACCUACCUUUUAGUACGGGACAACGUUUGGAAACGAACGCUAAUACCGUAUACGCCCUCCGGGGGAAAGGUCAGCCGCUAAAAGAGGGGCCCGCGUCUGAUUAGCUUGUUGGUAAGGUAAUGGCUUACCAAGGCUACGAUCAGUAGCUGGUCUGAGAGGAUGAUCAGCCACACUGGGACUGAGACACGGCCCAGACUCCUACGGGAGGCAGCAGUGGGGAAUAUUGGACAAUGGAGGCAACUCUGAUCCAGCAAUGCCGCGUGUGUGAUGAAGGCCUUAGGGUUGUAAAGCACUUUCAACGGUGAAGAUGAUGACGGUAGCCGUAGAAGAAGCCCCGG